UGUACAUAAUCCCUGCCCCACCCUACGAAUUACCAAGCUGCAACUGAAACCCCAAACUCGCUAAACCCUUUUCUCAGAACCCACAGUAACAGAACUACAGAAGAGCUCAAGGCUUCAACCGUGGCCGAUUCUGGAGCUCAAGGCUUCACAAGAAGGUGGAUGUCGAGAGGGAAGGAAGAAGGAGGCAGCAGUGAUGAGGAUAAUCAAGCAGUGAACAUGUCACGUUUAAUAAUUUUUGUCAGUGAUUGGAUCCGGUCAUUGAUGAUUUCCGAAGGAAAGAAAGUUGAGAGUGGUGGAGAGAAGUAUCAAGCUGAAGUUGUUUAUACGUAUUUGGAUUUAAGAUGCUGGGAGAUUUUCAAAUUCUGUUUGGAGGAGUCUGACAUUAAAUGUUUCUUUAACUUACUCACAGAACCUUUUACACUCUAUAUAUGUUGGAUUGCAAGGCUAGGAGUGCACUGUCCUUAUUGAACAAAACAUCUAUUGGUGAAAGGUGACAAUUGUACACUACUUGCUGGAUUGUAUUUCUUUGGUAUUUUCAUCCCAAGAAGGCUUCUCAAAUGAAAAUUUAGACAUGUGGAUUUCAACUGUAAGUUCAGUUCUUGACCUUGGACACAAAUUUUACAGUGAAGCUCUUGUUAGUGGCAAUGAGGGUGUAAUUGUUUUCCAAUUCUUGUGCUUGGUGCUUGAGCCAUUUGCCAGGUUUUUAAGGGCUCACGCAGCUCCGAAAAAAUGGAUUUCGUGAUUUUAGUGAUAAGCUCCUUGAGCCUCUGUUGCAUCUCUUGGGUCUCUUGCAUCUCCAGAUUGGUGGAAGUAAUCCUGGUUGGACAAGAAACUUACUGAAGCUUGUUGAAGAUGUAUUAUCUCAUGGGCUAUAUCACCCACUCCACAUUGAUGGGUUUUUUAGCUUAUGCAGUACCGAAAAAUACACCACAUCCAAUCAAGGGAAGUCAAAGGGGUCAAAAGAUUCCAGAACAAUCAACCAGAGUUAUCAUAGACAUUUAUUUGAUAAAGUGGAAGGAAUUUUAGCUGCAAAGAAUGCAUUUGCAGUAGAAAGCAUAGGAGUAAUGUUUCACUUGCGUAUUGAUCAAGUUAAAAAGCUAAAGAGGGAUUCAGCGCUGACCACAAGUACCAAAAUGAUGGGGAAAAGUGAAGGUUCAAGGCAGUUAGAAGAUAGUUCGUUGGUCAAACAUCUACAAUGACGUCUGAGAGUCGUAUUGUUGAAAAAAAUUAUUGCUCAACUGGUUUCCAUCCAGAAACACCAAAGUCGCUUCACUAUGUUUUUUAUACUGAUUAUGAGAUCAAUGGCUUUCUUGAAACUAAGCUGAAAGUGGGCCCUGAAUUGAUGGAUGUUCAUUGCACACUUAAAGCUAUAAAUUAUGUACUUUUGGUCUUUAUGCAUGAAAAGAUUUAUGUGAGAACAGAGGAUGCCUCUGACUCUCUGAGGGAGCUUGUCUUAAUUUCUUGAAGAAGGUUUAUAAUAUCAUCAUCUCAUUGUCCUCCGAUUUAAUGCAGUUGUCAGUUACACACUCAGAUAGUUUUACUCUAAUAGCAAAUGAGGCUUUCUUUGGUGGAUUCCCCGGAUCGAUGCUCAUUAUUCUCCAAGAUAACAGAUAUUGGAUGCCAAUUAAUUAUCCUCUAUAGUCAACUUCGCCAGGUGAAUUGUACCAUCUUUGCAUUGUGUAAAGCAGUAAGGGUUAUUAAUUUGGAUAAUAGCGAUGGUGAACUGAACUAUACUAGAUUUUUUAUUCCUUUUCAUGGUGAAGCAUAUGCAAAAGCUGUGGAAAUGCUAUUAUCUGCGCACGGAUUCAAAAUUGCAAUCCAUAAAGCAAUGAAGUCCAUAUCAGAAGGACAAGCAAGUCGGUGUAUUUGGCAGUUAACAUUGGAUUUUUCAGAAUCUAGAGUGGAUGAAAGUUAGUUGUGCGGAGGCUGAUGAAAAAGAAUUUUCUGAAUGCCAUCUAAGUAGCUUGCACAGUUUUAAUCUGGAAGCUGAAGUUUUCGGGAGAGGGUUGUCAGAACUAUAUGCACUAUUCCUAGAGUCAUUGAUUGUCACAACUGGAAACUGUUACCUUCUUGGCACUUCUAUAAAGGAAUUAAUUAGAGUGAUUUUCCCUUGCAUGAGCAAUGGUUGGACCACUGCAGGAGGAUGCUGUAAACAAAUUCCUAUGUUCUGUCGCGGUAAAAGAUUCUGACAAUGUAAUCGCUGGAGACAAAACAAAUAUCUGAUAUUUGGAGUCUCCACUUAUUGGGUAGUUUUGUUCUUCUUUCGAUUGUAUAGUUCCUGCCGAUGCUUAUAUAAGCAAGCAGCAAUCCUUAUGCCUCCAGAUUUAUUGAGAAAGAUGUCUGCAGAAAUGGGACAUUCACUCUCCUCAUUCUCUGGCAGGGAUUGGAUGGAAAUGUCUGAUUGGAUCAAUGGGGGAUUUUUCUCUUGGAUUGUACAACCUUCAGCUUCUCUUCUUGCUGUUAUUCGAUCUGUUUCAAACAUCUUUUGUAACGACCGUGCAGCUGAUUCUUGUCCUUUGACUUAUGUAAUGCAUGCUAUGGCUUGUGAAAGGCCUGUGGAUUUGAAUAGUCACAUAAUGUCUUUUGAAUAUUUUAUUGAAAAUGGUAACAAUCUGGUGCAAGUUGCGGAGAUCUCUUCUUUGAGGCAAGUGGCAGCAGGACUCACUGGAUUUAUGAUGGAGCAUCACUCAUUAGUGUCUUUAGAUCAACAGCGAAUAUUCACUUCUGCUGAUGCGAUUAAUAAUAAGAUGGUUAUCUAUGAAAGUGAUGAAUGGGAUAUCAGUAUUUACUCUGUGAACAAGAACUCAUUGCCAACUGCACUUUGGUGGGUUGUUUGCCAAAAUAUUCAUGCAUGGUGCCUCAUGCCUCUAAAAAGGAUUUGAAGAAAUUCCUCUCUCUUUUAAUCCAUAUUUCCCUUCCUUAUGUAAGAAGCAGCUUUGGGGUGGUUAUAGAGCACAAAAACCAUGAAGCUGACAGGCUGAAGAAUGUAGCAUUGCAUCAAAUCUCAUCACAGCGCUUUAUUGAUUCCAGUCUGUAUGAGCAAAGAUUUGUCCGCAGGUAUUUUGCAAAGAGGUUCUGCCGUGCAUUGGAGAAAUCUACAUUACCGUUUAUCAGCGACUUUCCAUCGGGCAAUGUUAAAUUCAAAUCAUCACCUAAUUGGCUGAAUGUCUUAAGUGAUUUAGAGAACUCAUCAUUGGCUAUUUCCUGCAACAAGCUCAAUGUAUUUGAUUGUUCCUCUGCCUCAAGUUGCAAGGGACAAAACUCUCAACCAUCUACCAUCAUGAAAUUUACAGCUUGUCAGAGUUUGCUUAAUCUUUUGAGUUGUAUGCCAAAAGGUCAUUUGGACACGAGAUCAUUUUCACAUUAUGUGACUUCUAUUCUCAACCUCAAAAGGAUUGUUGUUGGCGGCUUAUUAGAUUAUCAGAAUGCUUCAUACUCAACUUAUUAUUAUGAGCUCUUCAGAUUGUUUGUGUCCUGUCGGAAGGCCUUAAGAUGUAUAAUUAUUGAUUGUGAGGAGACCGGAGCCAGUCAAACCUCAGACAUUCGAGUACUCUUUGAGGAUUUAUUUCCUGUUUCAUGGCUUUACAGGUCAGUGCAUAUGGUUGCUGAGCUUCAAGAGUCAUUCUCAAAGGAUAUUUGUCAUGAAGUUCAUGAUAUGAUCUUGGCGUUAAUGGAUCACACAUUUUAUGUGCUUCUGACAUUAAAUAAACAUCAACCUAAUCAUGCUGGAUGUGCCCAAGAACAGAGAGGUUUAUUGAAUUCGUCCAAUUAUCUUGAAGCCUGGAAAAGUGUAAACGUUGUUGCUAAGAUUUUGAAGGAACAGAUGCAGAUCUUACUUGUCAUCAAGCUUGGUGCAUAAGUUUGCUGGCAUUAUGCGAGUCUUGUUAUUGGAAUCAGUGGACGCAAGUCAGGUGCCACACUUCUAUUUUUUUGUGUGUUUAGAUGGUGUUCUAAAGUAUCUGGAAGAAUUGGGGAAUCAUUUUCCUUUGACUAAUCCUACCUUAUCCAGAGAUUUGUUUGACAAGUUGGUUCAGCUACACUUAUGGGCUCUAGGGAAAUGCGUUACUUUACAAGGGAAAAGAGCAACUCUUGCCUCUCAUGAAACAAACACUCCUUUCUCAUAUGGGAUUUUCUGAAGCAUCAUCUUUUUCUGGCUGGGAAUACGUAUUGGAUGAAUUCAAAGCUAGGUUGUGGUCAUCAUUCGCAGUGUUUAUAAAGAAACCAACGGAGUUGCAUCUCCAAUCUGCAGUUCAAGCUAUGAAAAGAGCCAUAGUUGGUGUGCGGGAAGGGUGCACAGUGAGGUAUGACAUCUGCUGGAAGUGAAGACGGAGGAAAUGUUUCUUCAAUUGUUGCAUCUGGCAUUGAUUGCUUGGAUUUGAUUCUGGAAUUUGUUUCAGGACGCAAUUUGAUUGUGGUUAAAAAAUACAUUCAAAGGUUGAUUGCCUGCGUGUUCAAUGUUAUUCUGCAUCUGCAGAGUUCACUAAUCUUCUAUGAGAGAUUCACUCAGAGUAAAGAUGAUAGUGAUCCAUAUCCAGGAACGGUCAUUCUUAUGUUUGUUGACGUACUGGCAAGAAUUUCUGGCAAGCAUGCAAUAUACAAAAUGGAUAUCUGGCAUGUAGCGCACUCGUUACGUAUACCGUCAGCACUUUUUUCAAGAUUUCUAUCUGUUAAAACAUUCUAAAUGUCCUGUUCCAAAUGAUUCUUCAACAAGUCCAAAUAACCGUCCGACACAGUAGCAAGUGUAAUCGGCAUAUCUCUGGUAUAGAUCGGAAGUUUUGAUUUUCUCAUGUUCUUGUUGUUUGUAUAGAGGGUCCUUAGAGAAACACUUUGGCAAACCUUGAAGCAUGAUACGAACUCAAUUUCCAGUACCAAGGAAAAGUCUACGCAAAGCUUAUUAUCCUACCAGCAUCAUCAUUUGAAUCUUCCUAUGCGACUAUUUU